rnacentral:lncRNA from 1 species
AGUUCGUAUGACCUCAUAGAUGAAGAAGGAAAAGCACUCGGGAUCUUCUCUGCCGCCGAUCUGAAACCGCGAACCUGAAACGAAAGAUUCAAACAAAGUUAAGUUCUCUCAAACUAAUAGCAAAUUCAAUUUUGUCAACACGGAGUUGACGUGAAAUAUAAAGGAAUACUUAGCCUGAUAGGUGAAUAGGUUUUUUCCUCGGGACUGCAGACCGGGGGGAAGCUGAAAAGAAUGAAAAAAAAAAAUUCAAUGUAACUUGCGUAGGUCGAUUUAAAACCAGUAGGCAUGAAUUGUAGGAAAGAAGUACUUACCAAUGGUCCAAAACCACUUGAUCCUUGGAAUUUGAUCCAUGAUGGUCUCCAACUCAAAAGCAGAAUGGCAACAAAACCGACAAAUGAUUUGAAUAGCGGAGAUUCGUCGUUUUAGAGCUCAAAACUGAUUACUUUUCCUUGUAUCGAUUUGUUUUGAUUCGAAAGCAAGUUAGAUAGUGAGAAGGACAAUGAUUGACAGCUGGAAGGUAACUCACCUAUGUUGAGUUCGUGGAAGAAGUAGGGUAAAGAUCCAUGUAUCAGUCGCAAUCUUCGAUCGUCGACGAUGAGAAGGAAGAGCAGAAAUAAAUACUAAUCGAGCAUGUUAUUUUUUUAUGCCGGUUGAAAAGGCAAGUUUUGUUAUCUCCAUAGCGAAAAUAAACUAGUCAUUUUCGCAGCCGGUCGGAGGGAUAUUGUAACCGAUGGUUCCAAAUUUAGACUUGUGACUCCACCACAAAUUUACUUUCCCAAUUCCUUUUCCCGGAUUUUCCAUAAAUACGCCCUUUGGAACAAAAACCUCUUGUCGACAUUGGGGCACUCAUUUUCUGGAUUGGUGAGUGAGUGAGCUUGUCUCGCUCUCCUGUUACUGUCAAUGAUAGAGGGAGCGCACCACUAUGACGUAAUAGGGUGUGAUACAAAAGAUUGCACAAAUGGUCAACAAGUAAGAUAUGUUGAGCAUUUGGACCGAUUCAUAUAAAAACCCCAAGUUUUGGAGCAAAGAUCCUCUUUUUGCUGUGAAUACUGGAACGUAGUAGUAGUGCGCGCGCGUGUAGCAUUUAAUAGAAUUGAGGUUAGCGUUGAUAAUGCCUCAUUUUAGUGGAAUUAUUGUUAAUUAGUGUUUUCUCUCUUCUUUUAGUAGUGGUUAGUAAGGUUAGACAUGCAACAUUGAAGUUAAAAAGAACAGUUAGUAGUACAAAAAGUGUGUUAGUAGUACAAAAAAACACUUGGUUAGUAAGUUAAAAUGUUAAUAAUAUACCAAAACUAAUGUGUGUUAAAAUCUUAUAGUUGCUAAGUAUAAAUCAUGCGUCGAAACAAUCGUGUGAGAAAUAAUUCGUAAAAACCUACAAGAAAAGGUCCACACAUUGGGCCUUUUCUUUUUAUCUGUGGCCUUUUUGGCAGAACCACGACAGUUAGUGCGGAGUGCGCGUCCAUCUUGAAGUCCAGUCCAGCAGAAAGUAGAAGGGUGUAAACCGUUACUACUUUACACGGUUAGCGUCCCAAAACCGCCAUCUUGCCCUACCUUCAGGAUUCAUCAAGGCCAAUGAGUCCAACUUCGAUAAGCCAACCACAUUCUGCACAAGCCCGAUGAUGAGCGGACUGAUCACCCGCUCGUCGAUACCCGUCAAGCCGUUCAACCACCAACACACCAGCAGUUCUACAACAGCCCAUCAGAGCACAUCCAAAACCGCAAGUAAAACCACCCAAAAUGUGACGUCACAAUAAAUAAUUGUAAUAAUGAGA